rnacentral:rRNA from 1 species
ACGAACGCUGGCGGCGUGCUUAACACAUGCAAGUCGAACGGUGAAGGGACUGGUUUUGCUGGUCCUGGAUGAGUGGCGAACGGGUGAGUAACACGUGAGUAACCUGCCCCCUUCUUCUGGAUAACCGCAUGAAAGUGUGGCUAAUACGGGAUAUUCUGGGUCUGUCGCAUGGUGGGCCUGGGAAAGAUUGCGCCUUUUUUGGUGUUUUUGGUGGGGGAUGGGCUCGCGGCCUAUCAGCUUGUUGGUGGGGUGAUGGCCUACCAAGGCGGUGACGGGUAGCCGGCCUGAGAGGGUGGACGGUCACACUGGGACUGAGACACGGCCCAGACUCCUACGGGAGGCAGCAGUGGGGAAUAUUGCACAAUGGGCGCAAGCCUGAUGCAGCGACGCCGUGUGAGGGAUGGAGGCCUUCGGGUUGUGAACCUCUUUCGCCAGUGAAGCAGGCCUGCCUCUUUUUGUGGGUGGGUUGACGGUAGCUGGAGAAGAAGCGCCGGCUAACUACGUG